rnacentral:rRNA from 1 species
ACAUCGAUGUCUAGGGGCUCUGAGAGGAUUGUCCCCCACACUGGUACUGAGACACGGACCAGACUCCUACGGGAGGCAGCAGUAAGGAAUAUUGGUCAAUGGACGAAAGUCUGAACCAGCCAUGCCGCGUGCAGGAUGACGGCCCUAUGGGUUGUAAACUGCUUUUAUACGGGAAGAAUCCCCUGUACGUGUACAGGGUUGACGGUACCGUACGAAUAAGGAUCGGCUAACUCCGUGCCAGCAGCCGCGGUAAUACGGAGGAUCCAAGCGUUAUCCGGAUUUAUUGGGUUUAAAGGGUGCGUAGGCGGAAUGAUAAGUUAGUGGUGAAAUCCCCCGGCUCAACCGGGGCACUGCCAUUAAAACUGUCAUUCUUGAGUAUAGUUGAAGUGGGCGGAAUGUAUCAUGUAGCGGUGAAAUGCUUAGAUAUGAUACAGAACACCGAUAGCGUAGGCAGCUUGCUAAACUAUAACUGACGCUCAGGCACGAAAGCGUGGGGAGCAAACAGGAUUAGAUACCCUGGUAGUCCACGCCGUAAACGAUGAUCACUCGCUGUUGGCGAUACACAGUCAGCGGCUUAGGGAAACCAUUAAGUGAUCCACCUGGGGAGUACGGUCGCAAGAUUGAAACUCAAAGGAAUUGACGGGGGCCCGCACACCGGAGGAGCAUGUGGUUUAAUUCGAUGAUACGCGAGGAACCUUACCUGGGCUUAAAUGUAAGACGACAGUCCCCGAAAGGGGACUUUCCUUCGGGACGUCCUACAAGGUGCUGCAUGGUUGUCGUCAGCUCGUGCCGUGAGGUGUCGGGUUAAGUCCCAUAACGAGCGCAACCCCUAUCCUUAGUUGCCAUCAGAUAAUGCUGGGGACUCUAAGGAAACUGCCUACGCAAGUAGUGAGGAAGGUGGGGAUGACGUCAAAUCAGCACGGCCCUUAUGUCCAGGGCUACACACGUGCUACAAUGGCCGGUACAGAGGGCAGCUACCUGGUGACAGGAUGCUAAUCUCGAAAACCGGUCUCAGUUCGGAUCGAAGUCUGCAACUCGACUUCGUGAAGUCGGAUUCGCUAGUAAUCGCACAUCAGCCAUGGCGCGGUGAAUACGUUCCCGGGCCUUGUACACACCGCCCGUCAAGCCAUGGAAGCUGGGGGUACCUAAAGUCCGUAACCGCAAGGAGCGGCCUAGGGUAAAACUAGUAACUGGGGCUAAGUCGUAACAAGGUA